AGACGUCUUCAGCAACUGCUCUCCUGGAAAAUAUCUUAAGAGGCUUUUACUGUAUUAAGGAGAAGCACAAAUGUGUGAUGUGUAAUAAGCCCAAUUUCUUUCUUCUUGUUGUUUAAUACAUUAAGUCCCGGGACUAUUUACACGGUGGUUGGCAGAGUGUCAAAUGAGGAACAAGCUUGAGUUUAUAGCUUCAUUCAGCUGGAGCUUCUCGCUCCCAAAUUUCUCUCUGGAAAACCUUCAGCUGCAGGGGAUGGUGUGUGAGCUCCCUGUGUCUCCGUCCCAAUUGGGUGGUGGUAUUUGCAUUGCCUUCUGGAUCCUCUUCCACAUGAGGGUAUUUCUGGCAGAAUCCCCCGAGAUCAUGCAUUUAUUUCCACGAAGAAGCCUGUGUCAACACGCGACUUUCUGCAGUGCCAGCUCCCAGAUCUGGGUGGGAAAAGCACACGUCUUAA